UCAUUCUGUAAGGACAGGCAGCCAGUCCGAUCACAGAGAAAUGGGAAUUUAACUCUUUCAGCGAGAAGACACCCAACUGUCGGUUUUCGAGCUGCCGGAGUCGGAAUUUCAGAGGGCGGCUCUUCCCGGAUUUGAAAGCCGCACGGGCGUGCUGCACGAUUUCGCUGAUUUUACUCAUGGCGCCUGGGGAAUCAUGGGGAGAGCCACAGCCCCUGUGAACAUCAUGGCAAGGACCACAGGAGGACCUGAGUCUGCCUCGGCUCAAUUUACGAGUGCUAAUCUAAAACUCCAUUUCGGAAAAUUAACCUGACGGAAAAUGAAUUACCUUCAAUACAGCUUCUCCCUGGCUCUGC